rnacentral:lncRNA from 1 species
GUUGGCUUCUUUUUUUGUAUGAUGGGCGUGGGGCUUCAAUGGUCGUGAAUCAUGGUUUUAAGCUGUACUUUUGAAUGCAAAAGGGCUUAGAAUACUAAACUAGGAUAUUUUAUUUCGUAGCCGUACUUGUGGUUUGUUGGGAGCAGGAAGGCGUGUCUUGAAAUUAAAUCUGCUUUAUAUAUAUAGGAGAUCUAAUAGAUUCUUUGAUUGAAUGAUUUGUCUGAAAUCUCUUAGAUCUAUGCUGGAGAUCAUGGUGUGCUUUGUUAUGUUGGUG